rnacentral:rRNA from 1 species
CACGUAGUUAGCCGGCGCUUCUUCUGCAGGUACCGUCACUUUCGCUUCUUCCCUGCUGAAAGAGGUUUACAACCCGAGGGCCGUCAUCCCUCACGCGGCGUCGCUGCAUCAGGCUUUCGCCCAUUGUGCAAUAUUCCCCACUGCUGCCUCCCGUAGGAGUCUGGGCCGUGUCUCAGUCCCAGUGUGGCCGGUCGCCCUCUCAGGCCGGCUACCCGUCGUCGCCUUGGUAGGCCAUCACCCCACCAACAAGCUGAUAGGCCGCGGGCUCAUCCUUCACCGCCGGAGCUUUUAACCCCGUCCCAUGCGGGACAGAGUGUUAUCCGGUAUUAGACCCCGUUUCCAGGGCUUGUCCCAGAGUGAAGGGCAGAUUGCCCACGUGUUACUCACCCGUUCGCCACUAAUCCACCCCGAAGGGCUUCAUCGUUCGACUUGCAUGUGUUAAGCACGCCGCCAGCGUCGUCCUGAGCCAGGAUCAAACUAC